rnacentral:rRNA from 1 species
ACCCGCUGAAUUUAAGCAUAUAACUAAGCGGAGGAAAAGAAACUAACAAGGAUUCCCCUAGUAAGGGCGACUGAAGCGGGAUCAGCCCAGAUUGUAAACUGACCUUAAUCAAGGUUGGGUUGUAGUCUAAAGAGGCGACGCCAGGCAAGGUCCGGGGAGAAGUCCCUUGGAACAGGGCAUCGGAGAGGGUGACAAUCCCGUCUGUGCCUCGGACCGCGUCGUACGGUGCGUCUUCGACGAGUCGGUUUGCUUGGGAUUGCAGACCAAACGGGUGGUAAAUUCCAUCUAAGGCUAAAUACGGGUGGGAGACCGAUAGCGAACAAGUACCGUGAGGGAAAGAUGCAAAGAACUUUGAAAAGAGAGUUAAAAAGGGCCUGAAACUGGUAAGAGGGAACCGAACGGCAGAAGUGGUGAUGGGCGCGUAUUUUCCGCCGGGCUCUUGGCCGGCGUACUUGUGCGCGUCCGUAGGUCAGCGUGGGUUGGGGCGUGGGAGUCGUUCAUGGGAAGGUCUUCGGGCCAAUCUCGUGUUCAGGCCGCGCCUGAGACCUUCGGUGACGAAAUUCUUCCGUUCACCCCGUCUUGAAACACGGACCAAGGAGUCUAAAAUACGAGCGAGUGCGCCGGUGGCAACCCGGGGCGCGUAAUGAAAGUGAGACCGACGGUGGGAGGGCUUUACGUCCGCACCAUCAACCGACCACGAUCCUUCGGGUGAAAGGUUUGAGUGUAGCUUGUAUUUUGGGACCCGAAAGAUGGUGAACUAUGCCUGAAUAGGGCGAAGCCAGGGGAAACUCUGGUGGAGGCUCGUAGCGAUUCUGACGUGCAAAUCGAUCGUCAAAUUUGGGUAUAGGGGCGAAAGACUAAUCGAACCAUCUAGUAGCUGGUUCCCUCCGAAAUUUCCCUCAGGAUAGCAGCAAUCGAAGAGUUUUAUCAGGUAAAGCGAAUGAUUAGAGGCCUCAGGGGUGGAACGUCCUUGACCUAUUCUCAAACUUUAAAUGGGUAAGAGCCAGGGGUUGCUUAAGUGAACCCCUCGGUCGAAUCGCGGUUGCUAGUGGGCCACCCGGGGUAAGCUCGGUUGGCGAUGCGGGAUGAUCCGAACGUCGAGUUAAAGUGCCUCACUGCCCGCUCACCUAGAUCCCACAAAAGGUGUUGGUUCAUUUAGACAGCAGGACGGUGGCCAUGGAAGUCGGAACCCGCUAAGGAGUGUGUAACAACUCACCUGCCGAAUGGAUUAGCCCUGAAAAUGGAUGGCGCUGAAGCGAGCGACUUAUACUCGACCAUCACGGCAAGUGCGACGCCGUGAUGAGUAGGAGGGCGAGGGGCUCGUGGCGCAUCCCGCGGCGUGAGCCGGGGUGAAACGGGCUCUAGUGCAGAUCUUGGUGGUAGUAGC